CAAAUUUGAAAUCUGGGUCUUUCAGGCUCCGAGUUGUAAUUUGUAGAAGAUGCUUUGGGUGCGGCCCCGGUCUAAGUUCCUUGGAACAGGACGUCAUAGAGGGUGAGAAUCCCGUAUGUGAUCGGUGGCUUGCGCCCGUGUAAAGCUCUUUCGACGAGUCGGGUUGUUUGGGAAUGCAGCUCUAAAUGGGUGGUAAAUUUCAUCUAAAGCUAAAUAUUGGCCAGAGACCGAUAGCGCACAAGUAGAGUGAUCGAAAGAUGAAAAGCACUUUGGAAAGAGAGUUAAACAGUACGUGAAAUUGUUGAAAGGGAAGCGCUUGCAACCAGACUUGCGCGGGGUUGAUCAUCCGGGGUUCUCCCCGGUGCACUCGGCCUCGCUCAGGCCAGCAUCGGUUUCGGUGGUUGGAUAAAGGCCUUGGGAAUGUGACUCCUCUCGGGGAGUGUUAUAGCCCUCGGUGCAAUGCAGCCUACCGGGACCGAGGACCGCGCUUCGGCUAGGAUGCUGGCGUAAUGGUUGUAAGCGACCCGUCUUGAAACACGGACCAAGGAGUCUAACAUCUAUGCGAGUGUUUGGGUGUCAAACCCAUACGCGUAAUGAAAGUGAACGGAGGUGAGAACCCUUAAGGGUGCAUCAUCGACCGAUCCUGAUGUCUUCGGAUGGAUUUGAGUAAGAGCAUAGCUGUUGGGACCCGAAAGAUGGUGAACUAUGCCUGAAUAGGGUGAAGCCAGAGGAAACUCUGGUGGAGGCUCGCAGCGGUUCUGACGUGCAAAUCGAUCGUCAAAUUUGGGUAUAGGG
rnacentral:rRNA from 1 species